GAAGAGAUAAGUGCUGAAAGCAUCUAAGCACGAAACUUGCCCCGAGAUGAGUUCUCCCUGAGACUUUAAGUCUCCUGAAGGAACGUUGAAGACGACGACGUUGAUAGGCCGGGUGUGUAAGCGCAGCGAUGCGUUGAGCUAACCGGUACUAAUGAACCGUGAGGCUUAACCUUACAACGCCGAAG
rnacentral:rRNA from 4 species